rnacentral:rRNA from 1 species
UACGUAGGGUGCAAGCGUUGUCCGGAAUCAUUGGGCGUAAAGAGCGUGUAGGCGGUCCGGUAAGUCCGCUGUGAAAGUCGGGGGCUCAACCCUCGAAUGCCGGUGGAUACUGUCGGGCUAGAGUGCGGAAGAGGCGAGUGGAAUUCCUGGUGUAGCGGUGAAAUGCGUAGAUAUUGGGAAGAACACCUGAGGCGAAGGCGGGUUGCUGGGCCGACACUGACGCUGAGGCGCGAAAGCCAGGGGAGCAAACGGG